rnacentral:rRNA from 1 species
AACGAACGCUGGCGGCAUGCCUAACACAUGCAAGUCGAACGAGACCUUCGGGUCUAGUGGCGCACAGGUGCGUAACGCGUGGGAACCUGCCCUUAGGUUCGGAAUAACUCCCCGAAAGGGGUGCUAAUACCGGAUAAUGUCUUCGGACCAAAGAUUUAUCGCCUUUGGAUGGGCCCGCGUUGGAUUAGCUAGUUGGUAGGGUAAAAGCCUACCAAGGCGACGAUCCAUAGCUGGUCUGAGAGGAUGAUCAGCCACACUGGGACUGAGACACGGCCCAGACUGGAGGGGGAGCGAGGGGUGAGGAAGAGUGGCGGGUGGGGGACAGACGGCAGCAGUGAGGGGGGGGUGGGGAGGAAGGAGUGAGGGUUGAAGAGUUUUGUGGGGGGGGAUGAGCAAGGCAGUGCAGGGAAAAUAGGCCCCGGAUACCGCCGAACAAGCAGCGCGGGAAUGAAGGAAGAGCACCCGGAUGACC